rnacentral:piRNA from 1 species
AGUCUUGUUGUUCAUACUGUAAGGGCC